AACCUCACUCCAGAUGAAAAUGGGCACUGUUGUUAAUGAUGUCCAGAAAUUGUUAAUGUGUCAAUAUAUAUUGAGACACAGAUUAUGCUUCCAUCACAGUACACGUAUUGCAGCGGUGACAAUGAGACCUGUAACAUUU
ensembl:snoRNA